AACGCGAAGAACCUUACCUACCCUUGACAUGUACCGAAGCCCGCCGAGAAGUGGGUGUGCCCGAAAGGGAACGGUAACACAGGUGCUGCAUGGCUGUCGUCAGCUCGUGUCGUGAGAUGUUGGGUUAAGUCCCGCAACGAGCGCAACCCUUGUCAUUAAUUGCCAUCAUUUAGUUGGGCACUUUAAUGAAACUGCCGGUGACAAACCGGAGGAAGGUGGGGAUGACGUCAAGUCCUCAUGGCCCUUAUGGGUAGGGCUUCACACGUAAUACAAUGGCGCGUACAGAGGGUUGCCAACCCGCGAGGGGGAGCUAAUCUCAGAAAGCGCGUCGUAGUCCGGAUCGGAGUCUGCAACUCGACUCCGUGAAGUCGGAAUCGCUAGUAAUCGCGGAUCAGCAUGUCGCGGUGAAUACGUUCCCGGGCCUUGUA
rnacentral:rRNA from 1 species